GCCAACCAGCAGCAGACCCUCCCUCCCAGACCCUCCCACCUCCUGGACAGCAUCCAUUGUGAAGCUGCAUUCUUAGUGAGCUGUCCAGGAGGUGGGAGGGUCUAGGAGGGAGGGUCUGCUGCUGAUAUGCU